rnacentral:rRNA from 1 species
CCUACGGGAGGCUGCAGUGGGGAAUAUUGGACAAUGGGCGAAAGCCUGAUCCAGCCAUGCCGCGUGUGUGAAGAAGGCCUUCGGGUUGUAAAGCACUUUCAGUGGGGAAGAAAGCCUUGGGGCUAAUACCCUCGAGGAAGGACAUCACCCACAGAAGAAGCACCGGCUAACUCCGUGCCAGCAGCCGCGGUAAUACGGAGGGUGCGAGCGUUAAUCGGAAUUACUGGGCGUAAAGCGCGCGUAGGCGGUCUGAUAAGCCGGUUGUGAAAGCCCCGGGCUCAACCUGGGAACGGCAUCCGGAACUGUCAGGCUAGAGUGCAGGAGAGGAAGGUAGAAUUCCCGGUGUAGCGGUGAAAUGCGUAGAGAUCGGGAGGAAUACCAGUGGCGAAGGCGGCCUUCUGGACUGAUACUGACGCUGAGGUGCGAAAGCGUGGGUAGCAAACAGGAUUAGAUACCCCGGUAGUC